GACAGAGGGUGCAAACGUUGUUCGGAAUUACUGGGCGUAAAGCGCGUGUAGGCGGCUAUGCAAGUCGGACGUGAAAUCCCACGGCUCAACCGUGGAAGUGCGCUCGAAACUGCGUAGCUAGAGUCCUGGAGAGGAAGGUGGAAUGCUUGGUGUAGAGGUGAAAUUCGUAGAUAUCAAGCGGAACACCGGUGGCGAAGGCGGCCUUCUGGACAGUGACUGACGCUGAGACGCGAAAGCCAGGGGGAGCAAACGGG
rnacentral:rRNA from 1 species